rnacentral:rRNA from 1 species
GAUGAACGCUGGCGGCGUGCUUAACACAUGCAAGUCGAACGGUGAAGCCAAGCUUGCUUGGUGGAUCAGUGGCGAACGGGUGAGUAACACGUGAGCAACCUGCCCUGGACUCUGGGAUAAGCGCUGGAAACGGCGUCUAAUACUGGAUAUGAGCCUCUUCCGCAUGGUGGGGGUUGGAAAGAUUUUUUGGUCUGGGAUGGGCUCGCGGCCUAUCAGCUUGUUGGUGAGGUAAUGGCUCACCAAGGCGUCGACGGGUAGCCGGCCUGAGAGGGUGACCGGCCACAGGGGGAUGGGAAAGCGGCCCAGCCUCCAGCGGGAGCGGGAAGGGGGGAAUAUUGAACAGGGGGGAAAACCCUGAUGCAGCACCGCCGGGGGAGGAAGGCGGGCUUUGGGUUUGAAACCCUUUUUUGGCGGGAAAGAAGCAAAGGUGAGGUACCCUAAAAAAAAACGCCCGGCAAACUCGGUC